GCAUAUCAAUAAGCGGAGGAAAAGAAACCAACAGGGAUUGCCUCAGUAACGGCGAGUGAAGCGGCAACAGCUCAAAUUUGAAAUCUGGCCCUAGGCCCGAGUUGUAAUUUGCAGAGGAUGCUUUUGGUGAGGUGCCUUCCGAGUUCCCUGGAACGGGACGCCAUAGAGGGUGAGAGCCCCGUCUGGUCGGACACCGAGCCUCUGUAAAGCUCCUUCGACGAGUCGAGUAGUUUGGGAAUGCUGCUCUAAAUGGGAGGUAUAUGUCUUCUAAAGCUAAAUACCGGCCAGAGACCGAUAGCGCACAAGUAGAGUGAUCGAAAGAUGAAAAGCACUUUGAAAAGAGAGUUAAAUAGCACGUGAAAUUGUUGAAAGGGAAGCGUUUAUGACCAGACUUGGCCCGGUUGAUCAUCCAGCGUUCUCGCUGGUGCACUCUGCCGGUCCAGGCCAGCAUCAGUUCGUCGCGGGGGAUAAAGGUUUCGGGAAUGUGGCUCCUCCGGGAGUGUUAUAGCCCGUUGCGUAAUACCCUGCGGUGGACUGAGGUCCGCGCUUCUGCAAGGAUGCUGGCGUAAUGGUCAUCAACGACCCGUCUUGAAACACGGACCAAGGAGUCGUCUUCGUAUGCGAGUGUUCGGGUGUAAAACCCCUACGCGUAAUGAAAGUGAACGCAGGUGAGAGCUUCGGCGCAUCAUCGACCGAUCCUGAUGUUCUCGGAUGGAUUUGAGUAAGAGCAUACGGGGCCGGACCCGAAAGAAGGUGAACUAUGCCUGUAUAGGGUGAAGCCAGAGGAAACUCUGGUGGAGGCUCGCAGCGGUUCUGACGUGCAAAUCGAUCGUCAAAUAUGGGCAUGGGGGCGAAAGACUAAUCGAACCUUCUAGUAGCUGGUUUCCGCCGA
rnacentral:rRNA from 1 species